rnacentral:lncRNA from 1 species
GAGCUUAAUUGAAACACCAAAUAAAAGCUAGAGAAUUAAUUAAAUAAGAAUUUUUCAGGGGCAUUUGUUAAAAGGAAAUAAAAGCAAGGAUCGGGUGGGGAUAAGAAGAAAUCGGGGAGAGAGAAAAGAGAAAGAAGAAAAAAGGAGAGGGAGCUUGAGACUGCCAUUAAUGGCAGAUGGAGGAGGAGGUCAAUUUGGUAGGUGCAGAAGUUGGCAGGAGGUGUAACUGUCGACGGCGAACUCAAAGGUGGAAGUGGCAGCAGCUAUCGAGGACAGCAGAUAGCGGAAAACGACAAGCAAAAGGCAGCAGCUCUUCAAUGUCAUUUAUGGUGUUUCCGAUAGCGGUAACAACUGAUUUUGGUGGCUAUCAACUCAUUUGAGAGUGGUUUUUCAGUUGGGGCAGCAAUAAUAAUAAUGGUGGCUCGAGAAGAGAGAUCCGACAAAGGAAAUUUUAUAAAGGCAGCUUGAUUAUUUGGACUUUCUAGCCAAUAUCGUCGUGUCUUAGAUGAUUAGAGACUAUAUUCGGAACCUAAGCUUUCCAUUGACACCCAUUUUCAUAACGAUCAAUCUCCAUUGGAAAAUCAACAGUCAAACCUGCUUACGGCAUUUGAAGUUGAUCGGUGACUUGAUCAGAGAAUAUAGAUUCAUUUUCUACGCGUUAUUUUGAGUCCGUAAGCAUGCUUGGAUUUUUUAUCGGACUCCGGCGACCAAACGUAAGUCGACUGAUAUAGCACGCAUAUUGAUAAUUCUUUAGUUUAUUGAUUUUAGAAUUGUUAAUUAAAAAUAUAUUGGUAUUAGUCGGGGAAAAAUUGGUUAAUGUAUUUAUGAAUAUAUCUUGAGAAAUAAAAAAUUGUAUUAUUGAAAUUUAGUGAAAUUGAGCGAUCUGUUAAAAUUGAUAAAGGCUCUUUUAUU